rnacentral:rRNA from 1 species
GACGUAGGGUCCAAGCGUUGUCCGGAUUUACUGGGCGUAAAGGGCGCGUAGGCGGCCUGCUAAGUCACACGUGAAAUCCCUCGGCUCAACCGGGGAACUGCGUGUGAUACUGGCGGGCUCGAAUUCGGGAGAGGGAUGUGGAAUUCCAGGUGUAGCGGUGAAAUGCGUAGAUAUCUGGAGGAACACCGGUGGCGAAGGCGGCAUCCUGGACCGAGAUUGACGCUGAUGCGCGAAAGCUAGGGUAGCAAACGGGGAUUAAGAAACCCCGGUAGC